AUUGAACGCUGGCGGCAUGCUUUACACAUGCAAGUCGAACGGCAGCGCGGGCUUCGGCCUGGCGGCGAGUGGCGAACGGGUGAGUAAUACAUCGGAACGUGCCCAGUAGUGGGGGAUAGCUCGGCUAAAGUCGGAUUAAUACCGCAUACGACCUGAGGGUGAAAGCGGGGGAUCUUCGGACCUCGCGCUAUUGGAGCGGCCGAUGGCAGAUUAGCUAGUUGGUGGGGUAAAGGCCUACCAAGGCGACGAUCUGUAGCUGGUCUGAGAGGACGACCAGCCACACUGGGACUGAGACACGGCCCAGACUCCUACGGGAGGCAGCAGUGGGGAAUUUUGGACAAUGGGCGAAAGCCUGAUCCAGCAAUGCCGCGUGUGUGAUGAAGGCCUUCGGGUUGUAAAGCACUUUUGGCGGGAACGAAAAGGACUGUGCCAAUACCACGGUUCGAUGACGGUACCCGCAGAAUAAGCACCGGCUAACUACGUG
rnacentral:rRNA from 1 species